UUUUUAUUGUGAUCAUUUUCUACAAGCAUGCACAUUAGCGUUACAGUAGUACGAGCAUCUUUGUAGCACAUCCUUCCCUGUAUAGAAAGGGUCAUGUUGCUUACUGUUUAGCUGAUGUUAUGCAUUGUCCACUUCUAUGGUGUUGAUGUCCAGGAUCUCUACAAAACGGAACCUCUUUGCUACAGUCGUGUGGCUGCUUGUGUUCUUCUCCCCUAGCCAGAGGCAUGAAGGGGGGUUCACGGUCACUGACCAAGUCUCAUGUAUAACCCGACGUUUCGGAACUACACACGGGUUCCUCGUUCACUGAGUUGGACAGGAAAUCGUCGUCACCUAUGUAGCCAGCAUGUGACGUAAUGAACAUGCGUAAAUGGCAGGCAUAGUCCCUGGUGUCUGGUUCAUCGUAGCUGACGUCAAUUGAACGAUUAGCGAUUCUAGCAGCCGCCGGGAUGACAUGUUCUUUUCUUUGGCAACAACAGUGGCAUUGUCUCAGUCAAUCUUGUGACUAUGUUCCUGCGCAUGCUCGGCAAAUAAUAGUCGUGUGACUAUUAUUUCUUAGAUCAUGUUUUUUUUUUUUUUUUUCGUUUCCAUGCCUGACCAGCCGAACUUUCAUCGAAUCCUAGAUUAUGCAGCCAGAGGCAGUGGCACUCGUUGUGUCCUGUUUGAGAUGACUGGUCUUUUUGUCCGUGUCUAUCCACUAUCACCUGGGCUUAUCUCCUGGCUGCUGAAGUGUGCCUGCAUUUUCCAGGUCAACUACUCGGACAUUAAUGUCUGGAUACAAAUUGGGUAGAUCUUGUAUGCCAUGCCCAACAUCAGAGUAGCGGAUAAAGAAUGUGUGGCAACAUGAAAUGGCCGUUGACGACACAGGCGAGUAGUGGAUGCCACACUUCAGUUCUAAUUAAAGUUACAUCAGCACAGAGCAUGUAUGCUACGACCAAGUUGGGUCCAUACUUUGGAUUACCAUGUACAGUGUCACUCUCUUCUGCAUUCCAGAAGAUGGAAGCCAGUGUUUCUUUGCUGUUGCCAUUUCAAUUUAGUAUAUUUUCAUGUUUUCAUGCUCUGCAAAAUACAGCCAGAGGUUGCACGGUCUUGAAAUGAAGACUACUUUUUGUGUUUUCAAGAUAAAAUUUUAGCUAUAAUAAACGGAAUUUCCAAAAAACAAA